ACAUGUUGCAGAGCGGGGUAC
rnacentral:miRNA from 1 species